CUGACGGUUUAGUUUUUUCUCUCUGUAGAUAUGAUGCUUCACAUAAACCAAUUUGUCUUGUUGUAGUGGAUGGACAAUAGCUUAAUUGGAUUUGGGACUGGAAGACUGAGGAGGACGAGAAAGAAGGCGCCACCGUGGACGCCGAAAAGAAAAUGAUGUCGCCGUUGAUGAUAAGCAGGAGGACAAAAGAAAGAUAAACAUGUAUACCCACCGAAUAUACUGGCAAGGUUUCCAUUUGAAUGAAUGUUGCUGCUUUUGAAUUCUAUGGCGAGAAGGAUCAAACCUAUGAUCUUAACUUCAAGGAAGAGAACAAUGAUGGCUCCCAGAAUAUAUCUGGAGAUAGCCUGAAGAAUGUGUACAAGUCAUUUGCUGAUGAAUACCCAGUUUUUCCGAUUGAGGACCCAUUUGAUCAUGAUGACUGGGUUCACUAUGCUAAGAUGACUAAGGAAAUUGGAGAGCAGGUGCAGAUUGUUGGAGAUGCCGUUGCGCAGCUUGCCCUUCAGCGAGCACUAGCCGCAGCUUGUGGGAGGAGGUGGCGCGGGGGAGACCGGCGGUGAGGUGGGAUUAGGCCCUUUUGGCCGUCCCACCUUGGGAGGCAUGGAUGAACACACAAGGAAGUGGGCGCCUAAUGUGGAGGAUUGGAAAGAAGCUGCCGUCGCCGUCACCCAUCCUACCGUGUCGCUGCCGUCGUCGCGGCCUCCGCUCGUUCCUAUGGUGAGUGCGCGAAUGGAUUCUGUUUAAUUUUGUUCGGGCUGGCUUAGGAUAUAGGGCUGGGUUGCUCUGAUAUGGAUUGGUUUUGUUUUUGUACAGGA